AAAAAAGGUCCUGAGCUGAAAAACUUGGUAGCUUGCACUAGCUUCCUUUUUGAACAGAAGCUGGUUAAAGCAUGCGGUGAUGACAAAAAUGCUGAAGCCUUGAGAUGCCCAAGGUUGCUUUUUGAGGAGGAAGAAUCUGCUAAAAAAAAGCAAGCUGAGCUACUGGAGAGGAAAAAAGUGAAAAAGCUUCGACAGAAGGAACAGAAAGCAAGCGAGCAAUUAAAUGAGGAAAAAGGAAAUCUGGAGGUACCAGCUGAUUGUUUUGAGGUUCCAUUGGCAGAAGUACAUAGUGUUCCAGGACCAUCUCACUCCAAUUAUGAUAACCCUGAUGUAUCUCUGAACGUCUCCACCUGUGUUAAACUGGUUCAAUUCUCCAUCGAUGAAGAUAUGAGUGUUGAAUUCCAACGUGAUCUCUCUCACCAAUACCUGGAUUCGGUCA
rnacentral:misc_RNA from 1 species